AUUGAACGCUGGCGGCAGGCCUAACACAUGCAAGUCGAACGGUAACAGGAAGAAGCUUGCUUCUUUGCUGACGAGUGGCGGACGGGUGAGUAAUGUCUGGGAAACUGCCUGAUGGAGGGGGAUAACUACUGGAAACGGUAGCUAAUACCGCAUAACGUCGCAAGACCAAAGAGGGGGACCUUCGGGCCUCUUGCCAUCGGAUGUGCCCAGAUGGGAUUAGCUAGUAGGUGGGGUAACGGCUCACCUAGGCGACGCUCCCUAGCUGGUCUGAGAGGAUGACCAGCCACACUGGAACUGAGACACGGUCCAGACUCCUACGGGAGGCAGCAGUGGGGAAUAUUGCACAAUGGGCGCGAGCCUGAUGCAGCCAUGCCGCGUGUAUGAAGAAGGCCUUCGGGUUGUAAAGUACUUUCAGCGGGGAGGAAGGGAGUAAAGUUAAUACCUGUGCUCAUUGACGUUACCCGCAGAAGAAGCACCGGCUAACUCCGUG
rnacentral:rRNA from 1 species